rnacentral:rRNA from 1 species
UUGAGUUUGAUUCUGGCUCAGAUUGAACGCUGGUGGCGUGCUUAACACAUGCAAGUCGUGCGAGAACAGUUCCUUCGGGGACCUAGUAGAGCGGCGCACGGGUGAGUAACGCGUGGAUAAUCUACCCAGAAGACUGGGAUAACAGUUGGAAACGACUGCUAAUACCGGAUACGUUUCAUAUUUAACUUUAUGAGAGAAAGGUGGCCUCUGUUUCAAGCUAUCACUUUUGGAUGAGUCCGCGUUUCAUUAGCUAGUUGGUAAGGUAACGGCUUACCAAGGCGACGAUGAAUAGCUGGUCUGAGAGGAUGACCAGCCACACUGGGACUGGAACACGGCCCAGACUCCUACGGGAGGCAGCAGUGGGGAAUAUUGCGCAAUGGGGGAAACCCUGACGCAGCGACGCCAUGUGAGGGACGAAGGCUUUCGGGUCGUAAACCUCUGUCAGGAGGGAAGAAACUGUUUGAUGCUAAUACCAUCUUUCACUGACGGUACCUCCAGAGGAAGCACCGGCUAACUCCGUGCCAGCAGCCGCGGUAAUACGGAGGGUGCGAGCGUUAAUCGGAAUCACUGGGCGUAAAGCGCGCGUAGGCGGCGCGAUAAGUCAGNCGUGAAAGCCCUCGGCUCAACCGGGGAAUUGCGCUUGAUACUGUCGUGCUUGAGUCUC